GGGGAUAUAGCUCAGAUGGGAGAGCGCCUGCAUGGCAUGCAGGAGGCCGUGGGUUCGAGUCCCAUUAUCUCCA
rnacentral:tRNA from 1 species